AUAUUGUACACUGGGGGCAACCCUGAUCCAGCCAUGCCGCGUGUGUGAAGAAGGUCUUCGGAUUGUAAAGCACUUUAAGUUGGGAGGAAGGGCAAUAAGUUAAUACCUUGCUGUUUUGACGUUACCGACAGAAUAAGCACCGGCUAACUGCGUGCCAGCAGCCGCGGUAAUACGAAGGGUGCAAGCGUUAAUCGGAAUUACUGGUCGUAAAGCGCGCGUAGGUGGUUUGUUAAGUUGGAAGUGAAAGCCCCGGGCUCAACAUGGGAACUGCUUUCAAAACUGGCAAGCUAGAGUACGGUAGAGGGUAGUGGAAUUUCCUGUGUAGCGGUGAAAUGCGUAGAUAUAGGAAGAAACACCAGUGGAGAAGGCGACUACCUGGACUGAUACUGACACUGAGGUGCGAAAGCGUGGGGAGCAAAC
rnacentral:rRNA from 1 species